rnacentral:lncRNA from 1 species
ACGGAGCCCCUGCUGCAGCAGUUGAAUAGCUACCUGGGGCUCAAAUUCCAAUCUCCACAGGGUGUAUUACCUCACCUUCUUACUGACGCCAAGCAGGACCUCCGCUCAAAGCACUCAGAUGGGUGUGUGUGUGUGUGUGUGUGUGUGUGUGUGUGUGUGUGUGUGUGUGUGUGUGUGUGUGUGUGUGUGCGUGCGUGCGUGCGUGUGUGCUUGCAGCCAUGGGAAUUAGUUGUUGAUAAUCCUGGUAGAUGGCGUGUCUCAGUUUUCAGCAUCCUCAUUAGUUACCCAUCAGCCUGAUUGACAGGUCAGCCAUCACAUGUAAAUCUGGCAAUUUGUUUCAGAUGGCGGUUUCAGGAUGAGGCAGGAGGUAAUGGAGGAAGCAACACCUAGUCUACGUCACAUACUGACUGGUAGUCCUGUCUAUACACUGGUAGUACUGUCUACACACUGGUAGUCCUGUCUAUACACACUGGUAGUCCUGUCUACACACAGUGGUAGUCCUGUCUAUACACACUGGUAGUCCUGUCUAUACACUGGUAGUCCUGUCUACACACUGGUAGUCCUGUCUAUACACACUGGUAGUCCUGUCUAUACACACUGGUAGUCCUGUCUACACACUGGUAGUCCUGUCUACACACAGUGGUAGUCCUGUCUACACACACUGGUAGUCCUGUCUACACACACUGGUAGUCCUGUCUACACACACUGGUAGUCCUGUCUAUACACACUGGUAGUCCUGUCUACACACUGGUAGUCCUGUCUAUACACACUGGUAGUCCUGUCUAUACACACUGGUAGUCCUGUCUACACACACUGGUAGUCCUGUCUAUACACACUGGUAGUCCUGUCUAUACACUGGUAGUCCUGUCUAUACACUGGUAGUCCUGUCUAUACACUGGUAUCCUGUCUAUACACACUGGUAGUCCUGUCUAUACACACUGGUAGUCCUGUCUAUACACACUGGUAGUCCUGUCUAUACACUGGUAGUCCUGUCUACACACUGGUAGUCCUGUCUAUACACACUGGUAGUCCUGUCUAUACACUGGUAGUCCUGUCUAUAUACACUGGUAGUCCUGUCUAUAUACACUGGUAGUCCUGUCUACACACUGGUAGUCCUGUCUACACACUGGUAGUCCUGUCUAUACACUGGUAGUCCUGUCUACACACUGGUAGUCCUGUCUAUACACACUGGUAGUCCUGUCUACACACACUGGUAGUCCUGUCUAUAUACACUGGUAGUCCUGUCUACACACACUGGUAGUCCUG